rnacentral:rRNA from 1 species
UACGUAGGGGGCGAGCGUUGUCCGGAUUUAUUGGGCGUAAAGAGCUCGUAGGCGGUUCGAUAAGUCGGAUGUGAAAUCUCCACGCUCAACGUGGAGGGGCCACCUGAUACUGCCAUGGCUUGAGUCCGGUAGGGGAGUGUGGAAUUCCCGGUGUAGCGGUGAAAUGCGCAGAUAUCGGGAGGAACACCAAUUGCGAAGGCAGCUCGCUGGGACGUUACUGACGCUGAGACGCGAAAGCGUGGGGAGCAAACAGG